AGCCCCGUAGUGUAGCGGCCAAUCAUUCAGGCUUUUGGACAGCCUGGGACCCCAGUUCGAAUCUGGGCGGGGCUA
rnacentral:tRNA from 1 species